AUUGAACGCUGGCGGCAGGCUUAACACAUGCAAGUCGAACGAGUGGCGGACGGGUGAGUAAUGUCUGGGAACCUGCCCGAUGGCGGGGGAUAACUACUGGAAACGGUAGCUAAUACCGCAUACCAUCGGAUGUGCCCAUAUGGGAUUAGCUAGUAGGUGGGGUAACGGCUCACCAAGGCGACGAUCCCUAGCUGGUUGGAGAGGAUGAACAGCCACACUGGAACGGAGACACGGUCCAGACUCCUACGGGAGGCAGCAGUGGGGAAUAUUGGACAAUGGGCGAAAGCCUGAUGCAGCCAUGCCGCGUGUAUGAAGAAGGCCUUCGGGUUGUAAAGUACUUUCAGCGGGGAGGCGUUACUCGCAGAAGAAGCAUCGACUAACUCCGUGCCAGCAGCCGCGGUAAUAC
rnacentral:rRNA from 1 species